rnacentral:lncRNA from 1 species
GCAUUUCAUGAAAGGGAAAUUGGAUUUUUUUUUUUCCUUCUGAAGCCUUUAAUGAUACCACCAUAGUUUUUCUGAAUUCAGAACACUUUUACAGUUCUAUCAUGGAAUGAGUGCUAACCCCCCCAGCAUCAUUCUGUGGUUUUAAAUGUUACACCAAAACUGGCUCAGGGAAGUAGCUAUGUAUGAAGGAUUUGAUGGGUUCCAAAAGAGAAAAGGGAACAGAAAAAAGGAAGAGUAAAUUUUGUGGUUGUGAGACUUAUGGUUUAGGGUACCCCUUGGGGUUCAGAGCUUCGCAAAGACAGGAAGUAUCCAUUCAUAAGACUUGGUCCCUUUCUACUGUAUUUGGUAUCAUAAUUUAAAUGAAUUUAGGGCUGAAUGCCAGCAUCAGUCAGUUCCACAUGUUUGAUCAAAUUCCCAUUCUUGCUACAUAGUUUUUUCAAAAAGCAGACGUCAGUAGAGGGAUGCUAGAACUACUUCAGGGAUACACAUUGAUCUAGCACUCCAUGGAGGAAGUGAGUCAUAAAGUUGCCUCUAUGCAUGUAGAGAAUAUGAUCGCAGGAAUGGAGAGAUCCAAAUACAUGAUCUCACCUUUAACACAGUGCAGUUAAUCCAAAAGUAGUGCCAUGGUUUGAAACACGGUGGGAAUACCUUGUCUAUAAUUUUCUCUAUAUAGAUCUAAAUAUAUCCUAGCUCAUAAAUUCUUUGUUUAGUUAUUUCUUUUACAUUAUUUUAUAGAGUCGGUCUGUUACUUAACAGAUUUCCCAUUUUAUUCAUCAAGUUUAGCUCUUUUUUUUUUUCUACAGUUCAUUAUGGAAAAUAUUCAAACAUAUAGCCAAGUUGAAAAGUUUUAAUGCAAAGCUGGAGUCUACCAUAGCAUUUUACUAUACUUGCUGAUACAUAGCUGAUUGACCUUUUGGUAGUUUCCCUGAAUUUAAUUCACCCUAAAAUAAGGUUUUCCCUCCAACACACACACACACAUGAAGGUAGAUAAUUCCAAAACAGGUGUUUUGAGAUAAAGAUGAACCCAUUAGAAUAUUAUCAAGAUAACUUCAGUACCUUAAAAAGGAUUAGUUCAUAUCUAUGGUUAAGUUCUGAUAUAUGCUUAAAAAUUAGACAUACUGCUUUAGAGCCAUACUUCAUUUAUGGCAUCAGCCAUAUGACUACUUUAUGAUAAGAUUAGAUCUCGGUAUCUACAAGUGCAUGUAAGUACAUUUUAAGCCACAUAAUAAAAACUAGGUAUAUGACUUGACAAUCAAUAAAGAUAAAUUUAUUCAUAUCUGUUAUGCAAUACUUUUGAUCCCCCACACCUUCUAUAGUGAAAAUGCAGCUAUUCUGUAGGGAAGCAAAUUGUUCUUAGUUGCUCUUCCCUUGUUACAUUAUAGAUUAAUACUUAAAGGUUGUUUAUGACGUUGAAAAGAGAAUAUGUGUUUUAAAAAUGCUAAAGCUUGAGUUCCCUUCAUGGCUUAGUGGUUAACGAACCUGACUAGCAUCCAUGGGGACUCAGAUUCAAUCCCUGGCCUCCCUCAGUGGGUUAGGGAUCUGGCCUUCCUGUGGGCUGUGGUGUAGGCUGGUGGCUACAUAUCUGAUUGGACCCCCUAGCCUGGGAAGCUCCAUAUGCCGUGGGUUCGGCCCUAAAAAGACAAAAAAAAAAUUGCUAAAAUUUCCUCUGGCUUUAUAAUUCUUUCAUUCAUGAAGGUCUGAAAUGUCUUUAUGAUUUUAGUAUUCAUCUUUUAAGGAUGUUAGUGUUGGUAUGAAUCAUAGGAAAUGAUAUUUGUUUGACCACCCUCUGUUCUCAGCAGGUGAUACUUUGGGCUCCUUGAUGUGCAGAAGAACACCCAAAUUCCUGUAAUCUUGGAUUUGUUGGGCUCCUAAUACUUUAAUAAUCAGAAUUCCUUAAUACUUAGACACAAUUUAGACUUUAUUGAAAAUCUCCUCGGCUGUGGUACAAGUGUUCCCAUCUGAAGGAAGUAACUUUUGAUCUGGUAAUGUGUUAAGGAAUUCUGUGGGCACUUUAAUGAAAUAAAAACUUAUUUAAAUAGCUCUGAAGGACUAUAAAUAAAAGAGGUUAAGAGAAAAUUUGAGAAUUGUAAAUGUAGAUGAGACCUCAGAGAGACUAUUCAGUUCAUUCCCCUCAUUUUAUAUGUAAAGGUGAUGGUGGAUCACUCAGUAAGGUUAACAGUGGGUAUUGAUUUCAUUGAGUUGCCCAAGUUCACUCAUGUAAUAAAAGCAGACCCAGGAACCCGAGACUCUUGCCGUUCACACUUAUUGUUUUCCUGCACUAUGUCAAAAAUUCCUAAAAUAGGGCUUUUAACUAUGUUUUAUAACUUAAGAUACUGGGCCACAGAGAUUAAGUAACUUUCUCAAGUUUAUAUAUAACGAGUGAGUGGCUACAUGGGAUUUGAUUCAGGCUAGCUGGUUCUAGAGUCCACACUUGUAAUCACUGAGAUUUGCUGAGCAAGUGAGUGAAUAUACAAUGGAGGCAGAAAGGAGCUGUAACUCACUGGAGUCUGGCAAAGACAUGAGAUUGCUCUUAAAUAAUGAGUGCACAUUUUCAAGAGGGAGCGGGAAGAGGGCGUCCUAGGUAUAAGACAGAUUCCUGAAAGUGCCUGAUGAGUUUGGAAGCAUUGCUGUCUCUAAAGUGCGGAGAGGGGGGGAGGGAGAGUAAAAGAAGGUUCUAGAGCAGCACAGUUUGGUUCUGCUGAUUAUGCCAUAUUAGGAUAUUUGAAAUCACUCCAGCAAUGAAAUAGAGAAUGGGAAUAAAAUAAUAUACAUUUAAUUAAACCACUGUGUGCCAUGUGGUUUAAUGCUUCACACACACACACACACACACACACACACACACACACACGCACACACCAAAUGAUAGGAGCACAGGAUAGUGACAGAUUCCAUCUGACACUGUAGCUUAUUUUGACCUCGUUUGGCAAGGAGCCAAUGGGAGUUUUGAGGCAAAAGGGUAGACUGAUCACUUUUCUCUGGGUUUUGGUAAUAAGGGAAGAGUCAGGAUGGUGGACCAGUGGGGAGAUGUGGGCGUUAGGGAGACAAGCAAGGGCUAUCCCAGACCCAGAGGCAGGAAGACCUUUUCUUAAGGCACUGGCAGUAGGGCUCCAAGGAUGGUUCUGAUUUGAGGUUCUUCUCCGAUUACCUUUACACUUUGCAGUCAAAGAACGCUUCGUCUAUGCUGUGCUGAUAUGGCCCUUGUGACUUAGUUGCAGUGGACAGUGGGGUCUAUGUCACUUAGCAAUGGGCCAGGGCAUAGUGCUGAUCCAAUGUGAGUGAUUUUGGUCAUGUUGACAGUUGUACACUAAAAUGGUUUGUUUGUUUCACUAAUGAUGAGCGCCUUUCACACAGAAGAUUAGCACACAAAUUAGUGUUUGUUGAGCUUGACAAAAUGAGCUUCAUUGGGUGGUGGGAGGUUACUGUUAUACCCACUUUAGGGGCCUCAAACUUCAGUUGCUGCUCACAGUCUAAGAUGGCACAGGACUUUCGAGUUCUCUGAGAUCGAAGGAAAUUGAUGCAUCCCGGAGUCCAGUUGUAACUAAAUGAUUUUUCACAUGUGAAUUUCUGUUAAGGAACAUUGAAAUCAUUGUAGUUUUAUGAGGUUUUUUCCUUCAUUUUCCCUUUAAAGGGUUUAAAACAGUGUAAAUCAGGAUAAGGUGUUAAUUUAUAAUGUGUUGUUUCAUCUUAAAGGAUAUUUUAAAUGUAUUUAAAUUAGCUCUCUGCUCAAAACCAGAAGGUAAAUACAUAAAGGCUUUAUAAGUUAUUGCUGAAUAUUUUUCUAAAGGAAAAAAAAAGUUUCAGCAAUUUAUAGAAAUGUUUUAGAUUCUUUCAUUUUUAGCCUAAAGGGGAAAUUAGUGAGAUGCCAGAAUGAGGUAGUUAGAGUAAUGAGAAGAGAGAAAUGAGGAAAAAAUGGACAAUGGAAAGACAUUAUCCUGCUAGAAAGAUAACGAGAGGGAAUAAGAAAUAAAGGAAGGAGGGGAGCAUUAAUGAAAAUGAACACGGGUAUGCAUCGUGUCUAGGGAAAUAAUGAGAAUAUAGCAAAAAUCCUCAAAUCCUUUCUCCUUCCUCUGUAUGUGUAUUUUUCACUAUGCAAGGAGGUAUAGAGCACUGUUGAACAGCAGGCAGCUCAAAGCAACUGGAACAAGGAAAAAGAAAAAAGCAUAACAGCAAUUCUUUCCACUAUAUAAACAGUCUUUUAGAUUCAUUAGAAAACAAUUUUGGAAAUAUUUGAUAAUUGUUGCUUUCAGUCAUAACAGGUAUGUGAACAAUACACUUUCUAUUCAUAUCAAAUCCGUUUGAGUAAGGUUGGUUGAGUUUGACAUUCUUUGCUUAAUCGAGCUUGCUCAUACUUUUUUAGAUAUGUCCCACUAAUGAAUGACUGAUGUGAACUGACAUAAUGUAGGAUUGCCAUAGUGCAUUUCUUUAGUGACUUCGGUGUAUUUUGGGAAUAUUGUUUUAAUUCUAAAGCAGGAAAGGGGGGGGUCAGAGGUCAUUUAGCCCAACUGUCAUUUCAUAAAUGAAGAAAAUAAAAUCCUAGAAAAGCUACGUGUUUUUGCCUGAGGCCCAGAGCUGGUUGGGAGCAGCCUAAGAAUUACUCACAUUCCCUCAGUCCAGUGAGAUUUUGUCAUACUACACUGCUCCAGAAUCUUAGGGCAAGAGGGGAGAAAUAUAUCAAGAUACAGAAAGGAAUCUUCCUCCUCUUUGCUGCCAUUUUACCAGUAAACUUGUUAUUGGUUUCAAAAGGGGACAAAACCAAUAGAAAAUAAGUGAAACAUUUUUAAGAGAACAAAUUACUAAGGGAGAGGCAUGUGUUGUGAGAGAAUUAGCACCAGGGCAAGAGCCCAGAGCCCCAUCUCAAGAGUCCCUUGAAUUUGGGCAGAGCCCUUGAGCUUGGGCAGAGAGUGAUAGCUCCAAUUGGUGGGCAAGAAGGUUCUUACACUGAGGCAGAGUCUGAAUCUGGUGAAAUCAAAACUUUCUGUCAGUAAAAUUCUGAUAUAAAAUAAUGGGUUCCAAUGAUAAUCUCAACUUUUAUGGACAUUCGUGGUUCAUGCCUUAUCAAAAUGAAGAAAAAUAGUGUAAUCCCUCUGAAAAAGCUACUGUUGUUAAAAAAAAUAAUCCUUAUAGCUGAAAAUCUCAGAUGGAAUGUAAAAAAAAAUGUUGAUAACUCAUUUCUAAGGGAGGAGAUAGUACAAACAAAGAACAAAUUUCUGUUAUAAAAAACUAAACAACAAUCUUGACCUUGUCACUAUUAUUAUCUACCUUCUUGGUCUUGCAUGGACAAUUAUCCAACUCACAUUAAAGUUUAGAACACUGCCACCUCUACUUUGUGUUCAGACAGCCAUUGACUGUGUAGNNNNNNNNNNNNNNNNNNAACCUAAAUAGUUUAAAGCAAAAUAUGUUAACCAUUAUGCUAGAAUGAAAUUUAAUAUUCUAAAGGCUUUUGCUAAAAUAAAUAACCUGAGUUUACCAUUGUAACUAUAUAAAGUCUAAAGCAGAUACACAUAAAAAAUAGCAGGCGAUCUGUACUGGAUUGAGCAUAUAAUUGGUGUCACUGUAAGAAAAUUCUCCCAAAGAGAAGUCGUAUCUCAGAAAUAGACCAUGAGGUGCUCUUGAAACUUUCUUGGAGCCCUCAUAUUUUAUGAUUAUUUUGUGUAGUGUUGCUGUUUUGUGGUCGUUUUUCAACAUUAAGACAGAAGAGAUGGGAUUCUCUGGCAUUGUCACUGCUGUGGCAAGGGUUCGAUCCCUGGGAACUUCUCUGCAUACCACAGGUGCAGCCAAGCAAACAAACAAAAAGACAAUAUAUGAACACAAGUUUGAUGUGCCUUCAGAAUCUUAAGAUUAUAAAGGAAAAGUGGAAUGUUAGGAUAAUUCUCAAAGAAGAAAAAAAUUACAGAAAAUUCUUUUUCUUUAUCUCUUCUUUUUAGGAACAAGAGUUGGAAAGGGGGCACUUUUUUGAAACAAAAUUAAAAACAAAGACAUAAAUACUGUACAUCCAUGAAAAAGUAAUAUGUGAACAUUCAAUACUAUGUGAAAAAGCAUGUGCUGGUUAAUCAAACUUAGAGGGCUAAGAUGUAAAAACAAGAGGGAGGAGUUCCCCUUGUGGUCAGUGGAAACAAAUCUGACUAGCAUACAUGUGAGUUUGCAGGUUCAAUCCCUGUCCUUGCUCAGUGGGUUAAGGAUCCGGCAUUGCCAUGAGCUGUGGUGUAGGUUGCAGACACGGCUCAGAUCUGGUGUUGCUGUGGCUGUGGUGUAGGCUGGCAGCUGCAGCUCUGAUUGACCCCUAGCCUGGGAACCUCCAUAUGCUGUGGGUGUGGCCCUAAAAAGCAAAAAAAAAAAAAAAA